AAAAAAAAAAAAAAAAAUAGAUAUGUGUUUGGAAACCCUAGGGUUGAAGGAAGGAUCAUAUGUAGUUUUUCCAGUCGGUGGCAAACCGCACCUUAGAGCCUUUAUUAUUGAAAAUUGACCAUCCCAGAAUGUUUGCAGCAUCCAAAAACUACGUAGUGUGCACAUGCUAACUGACAGUCGGAGGGCUGUGCUUGGUGUGCACAUGCUAUCGUUGGCUUGUGAAGCGCCCCUUCCACAUGCUUGAUGCAUGAUAGGUGUUCACCAGGCUUUUGGGCUUGGGUCAAGGGUCAAGUGCCCUAUGCUGGGCCUCCAGGCCUGGCUCACUGUGCCGGGCCACAUGAGGCUAGCCAUUUGGAUGCAAACAACUCGUCAUUUUGGGCAAACGACUUUUCAUUUUGACCUUAAAUUAUACACUGUAGAGGCAUUGGCCUGAAGUUUUGAAUAAAAUGCAAAAAUGGGGUUUCAGGAUAGAUUUUUUCACUGGAAAAAUGAGGUUGGUUUGAUAUUACAGACCAUAGGGACUGUGUGGAUAUCCAUUUGUUGAAACUGAAUUUUAAGUUGGGAAUUCCUUGCAUUGCUAUAGUUCAUUAAGCAGUUUCACUUUGUGAUUAAAAAAAACUUUGUUAGUUCCUUGUGGGGCCAGG
rnacentral:misc_RNA from 1 species